UGGUGGAGUGAUUUGUCUGGUUAAUUCCGUUAACGAACGAGACCGUCGCCUAGUAACUAGACGCGGGCGCUUGCGGGCGCGGCGCGCCUUCUUACGGGGACCAUUUGCGAUUAGCAAGAGGAAGUUGGCGGCAAAAACA
rnacentral:rRNA from 1 species